CCACAGCCUGGGCUGAUGCGAGGUCCAACUGCACAGACGGUGGAGCACUGAUAACUGACCCAUUGUCAGUAGCAUCUGAAGCCCACAAGCUGGAGGGAACUUGGUUAGGAGCCAGAUGGUUAGAAGGGGUUGAAGACUUAUCACCUCAUGCUUGGACUGUUGCCGUAGCCACUCGUGUGUCUGUCCACUUCCACUCUUUCCCUAUUCCAAGCCAUCCUGCUCAGAUAUCGGUCACAGGAAAGUUACUUUAGCC
rnacentral:lncRNA from 1 species